rfam:Gossypium arboreum cultivar AKA8401 contig_24962_3, whole genome shotgun sequence.
UGUUAAAAAUUUCAUCUAUUUCUACUAUAUUUCAGAAUAAGGUACACAAGACAUGUUACCUGUAACUAUCUAGUUAUUUUGUUAGGUACACCAAUUUUUAACAAUAGAAAUGGAUGGAAUUUUUAACA